rnacentral:rRNA from 1 species
UACGUAGGGCGCAAGCGUUAUCCGGAAUUAUUGGGCGUAAAGAGCUCGUAGGCGGUUUGUCGCGUCUGCCGUGAAAGUCCGGGGCUUAACCCCGGAUCUGCGGUGGGUACGGGCAGACUAGAGUGCAGUAGGGGAGACUGGAAUUCCUGGUGUAGCGGUGAAAUGCGUAGAUAUCAGGAGGAACACCGAUGGCGAAGGCAGGUCUCUGGGCUGUAACUGACGCUGAGGAGCGAAAGCAUGGGGAGCAAACAGG